UUGGUUAGAGAACAGGUUAACACAGGUUCUCGUCCAAUCACCAAAGUUAAGCAAUGUUGGGCCCGGUCAGUACUUGGGAGGGUGACCACCUGGGAACACUGGGUGUAGCUGUAAUCU
rnacentral:rRNA from 1 species